UUAUUUGGGGAACAGUGGUGAUGCUGUGAUUCAGCCAUUGCAUGUGUGUCUGUGUGCAUGUGUGUGUAUGUGCUCAUGCGUGAAUAGAAAUCAAGUUAUUGAACCAAAUGCUCAGAAGGAAUUUGGGCAACUUGUAAUCUAAUAUGCUGGGUGCAGAAAGUUCAACUUCUACCAGGUUUUGAUUCAUAGUUUUGGGCAUGACACAGGAGACUGUUUAGAUGCCAGAGGUUGAAAAUUAGGAGCCAUUUGUAAUGAUGAUUAAAAAUAAAUUCCAAACCCCAUAUACUAGCUAUUUCUGCAUGUGACUCCCAGAAGUGAUGUGGUGGUGGUGGUGGUGGUGGUGGUGGUGAUGAUGAUGAUGAUGAUGAUGAUGAUGAUGAUGAUGCAUCCACUCUUGGUGGCCACUUUUCCCCUUUUUUUUUAAUCUUUUUUUUUUUUUUUUGUAGAGACAGAGAGAAAUUAAGAGGAAAGGAGGAGAGAGAGAGGAAGAGAGACUCCUGCAGCCCUUCUUCACCACUCCUGAGGCUUCCUCCUUGCAGGCCUCGAAGUCGAGGAAGAACUGCAGUGGAAGAUGAGGACAGCCUGGAUGGGCUGGAGGCAGCAGAACCAGAGAACACUGUGGAAACAGACGUUCAUCGACAACAGCCAGACCUCUCAGUUCCUUGCCCUUGAUUUCCUUAAAUCUCUUGCUCAUUCUUAAACUCCUGCUUCUGCUCUUCUCACUGUACGCUUUAUUGGGGUAACUGUUGAUUCUUCCCCCAGUUCAUUUGCAGCUCCGCCGGCCCCCCCCCCCCCCCCAGCCCCCUUUCUCUGAACUCCACACCACAGUGAUUCUCCUGCCAGUCUGGGUCUCCAGUCCCCUGACCGCACCCCUGGGGCUGGUCUGCCGCCGCCUCCAGCCCAGAUGCGAUGGCCGCCACUGCAGGUCUUUGAAUUCACCCACCCAGGCUCUUCUGCCCCCUUCCCACUGUGUUGCUUUCAUGUCACAACCCAAAGUUUGUGUUUUAGUAGCCAGAACCGGGUGGAGAA